rnacentral:lncRNA from 1 species
UCGAAAGAAAAUAAGCAAAUUUUGUGUUUACUAAAAACUUGUAUGAGCUCAUAGAUCACGACCUUACUUGAACAGGAUCUGUUCUAUAGGCUCGUACCUCUGUAUCCUUGAUUUCUAAGGAGGCAGGUCACCAAGUCUGGUGGAUGAACAAUGACUGCUUGACCAGAGCGUGAUUAACAUCUCUUCCUGGUCUGUGCACCAUCAAGGGCCGUAGAGGAUCGUUCUCAGCCUGGUUUCCUGGGCUGGGUUGGUCUUGCAGUUGUCUGACAGACCCUAAUCUUUUUUACCCUUCCAUCUCAUUUUUUGGUCUGGUCUGUCAUGGUUUCCUGGAUAAUCUACCUAAGAGCAACUUAUGCAACUAGCGAGUAUUAAUUUUAGGGGUGGACUCCUCUUUCUUUAGUCUUUAGUCUACCCGACAUAUGAAGCUCAACAAGAACAAAAUUCUACAACCUGCAGAACUACUGAAUAAUCUAACAUUAAGAGCGACUUAUGCAACUACUGAGUAAUAAUUUUAGGGGUCAAAACUCUGAAAUUUCUUCCUGUUACUUCAGUUUAUCAUUAUUUGUUUUAUAUGAUGACCAGAACAUAUCUUCCUAGUACUUCUGUUUAUACCAUAGCAGCAUGGACCUAACCUUUCAUGCCUAGAGAAGAUCCUCAUUCCCUUUCUGUUCAAUUGAUCUUGGUCCCUACUCCAAAAGGUAGAAGAUUAUUAGCUCGCUAAGAACUGCAGGGUUUGUACCCAUUAGAACCAAUAUUAUAAUUGUUUUUGUAUAAUAGGGUGCUUAAAUUCUUUAGCUUAGCUUUUAGAACAUCGGUUUUCUCUUUCAGGGACAUCCAAUUGUAACGAUUCAAGUUUAGCACACCCUGUGCAAGGAUGACAUGCAUGAUUCACUCAAGAUUAACAUGCCCUGCGCAUGGAUGACACUGCACAAAUCCAGAGAUGUUCCAAUUUGUUUUACAAUUAAAAUCCAAAAUGGUCUGGUUCCUUUGGCUAGAAAAAGGAAAUAUACAGAAAACUGUUACAUUAAGCACAUAUGUACAGGCACCACCACCAUAUAAACCACCGGAUGUUUCUGCCCACGACUUUGGGUAAAAAGAGGCCUUAGCUCACAGACACAAUGCUUCAGAACUAAAGGAUGAAUGAGAAUCAGAAGUGCCACAGUAUGCGGUGCAGUACAGUAAGUAUAACUGUAUAACAAACAACAAUUUCUUGCUUGUACUGAUCGGGCUAAUAAUGUGCUUGUUUAAAUAUAUUUUACAGAUUCUGAUAAAAUCUUAUCAUUAGUUGCCUGGAAGCACGAUUUGUUUUUGGUGUUUUAACUGUUUGAAGAGACUUUUUAGUAAUUAAUGCCAUGAGAGUGUAAAAAAAAUUUGGACCAUUUCUCGAUUUGUGCGUGUCAUCCUUGCGCAGGGGCCAUGCUAAUCUUCUCUGUAUCGUUCCAAUUUUAUCGGAUGUCCCCGAAGGGACAAGCAAUGAUCUGCAAGCAUGAAAAUAUAACCACUUCAUUUCCUUGUAGUUUGCCUAUGUGGGAUUCGAGUGUGAGACUUGAAUUGAAUCUUUAAUUAUGGGGGAGUUUGUCUAUGACUUAUUUCGAGAUAAAUUUUCAUAUUUACAUGUUAUUUUUUUAUAGUUAAAUAUUUAGAGGACGUUGAGCCCUAUAUAACCUCGGUGAAGGAUCCAUUAAUAAAUAGGGCACUACAAGCAUAUUUGAUGAUUGCCAAGAACUUUAAUUUGAAUAUAGAAGCCAAAUUUGAUGACCAGAUUGUGAUUAAAUGUUUAUUUUUGGUCUGUAUGUAGUGCCUUUGAGAAUCGUUCUCAGCUUGGAUUCCUGGCUGAGGUUGGUUUUGCAUCUGCACGCCCAAAUAUUUUUAGCAUGCAGCAGUUGCCUACUAAGCUUACCUAUCCAAGGGUCACAGGUAAAUAGGUAUCAAUAAUAUUAGUAUGUGUGAAUAACUUUUCUAGGCUUCACAACCUCAUUUUAAGGGGAUCAGUAAUAUUGAUGUAUAGUCCCUUGUGGGAACUCUUGAUGGGGCACGGGAGUACCAAGAACCAAGGAAAGUUGAGAGGGAUUUGUGAAGUAGUAAUUAACUAGAUUCUUAGUCUUGUAUCUGUACCUCAGACUAGCUGUGUCAUCUUUGAGUGAAAAAAUAACACGAUAAAGUGCUAUGAUCUUUUUUUUGCUAACUGCUGCCGCUAGCUUUAGUCAUUAAAACAAAAUAAUGUAUCAAUUAUAUAAACUGUGGUUCUCUGGGUUAUGCUUUAAACUUUUGUUGCCUAAAUAUAUGCCUAGUGUUUCUUAAUUUUUCUUCUUUCCUAACAAAACACUGCAGUUUCUUACUGAUUUUGACUGUCAAAAAAAUUUGGACCGAAAAAAUAUGGUUAGGUUUGUAAAAAAAAUUUGGACCAUUUCUCGAUUUGUGCGUGUCAUCCUUGCGCAGGGGCCAUGCUAAUCUUCUCUGUAUCGUUCCAAUUUUAUCGGAUGUCCCCGAAGGGACAAAAGGAUGUCAGGCAGCCAUGAAAUAUAAGCAUGAUGUUUUUUAGAUAUGUAUCUAUGUGGGAUAUUUAGGUGUAAGACUUGAAUGUUCUAUGUAACCUUUCCAGGCUCCAGCGGACUUUUAGUUGCCAGCUUUUGAAAUCUUGUUGAAACUGCUGAUAAUAGAUCCCAAGUUUUUUCACAGUACACAUACAUGCUUAGUAAACAAAGGAAAAAGUUCUCUGAACAUAGGGUAAAACUAUGUCACCUCUAACCUUUUUACUCGGUAAACAGAAGUCUGGAAUGAAGUCUUAAAUUAUUAGGUGCUUCUCCUCAUUGUAUAUUGAUAUUCAUACGUAAUUUAAUUGUGUUCCGCGGAUAUUGGCUGACAAAAUGAACAAUCUUGAGCAAUAUUGCAUUGUAAUCUCAAAAAUCAUUUAUUUGGCAGAGGGAUGUGCACCAGAAGCGGCAUCCCUACCAUCCAAAGUUGUUCCAAAGUGAUGCAAUUUAAGAAUGUCAAGAAGUUACCAUCCAAAACAUUAUGCACAUCUCUUUCUUUCUCUUCUGUUAAAUUUCUUUCAUGAGUGCAUUUUCAAAUAAUUGUAAUUGAUUUUCCUAGGAAUUUUAAAUAGUUAUUAUAUUAAGUUUUUAAUUUCUCUGCCCUUUUGUAUUGCAAAGUUGUCAUAUUUGUUAAUGUAGUUUUUGCAUUUUAGCAGAAUUGCGGCAAGAUCUCCACAGGCUCAGGUCUUCUGCAACUGUGUUCUUGAAGGUUAAUUCUUUUUUCUUAAACCAUGAUAAUUGUAAUUUUUGUUUGUAAUUUUAGUGCCUCUAACUUGCUGGUCGGUUGGUUUGAAUUAAUUCGAAAGCCAAAGAACUUCAUUGUACUUCUUUCUUCAACUAAAAAAUAAUAAUUCUAUAUUGUUUUUUAAACACAGGGAUGCUUUUCUCGAGAACCUUGGUUGAAUAUAAUAUAGUAGCAUACUGCACAAGACUACAAGUUGGAUGUCCAAUAUUCCAACCUAGCAUAGUUGGUCCGUUAUUACCAAGAUUUACUUGAAACAAACCAAUUACUGAACUUAUGUGGGCGGUUUUAUUGAACAUACCAAGUUUUACUUAGUUAUUAUCACAGAAAUAUAAAUUUAUAAAGACAGGCAUUGAUCUCUCCAGAAAGAAGACAAUGGGCUUCUCAAGCUGGCUUUAUACCAACAGCACAAAACAGGUACUGAAGAUUGUUCAUCCUGGUGGCCAUGCAGAGCUUCACGAUAGGCCGGUCCUGGCUGCUGAGAUAAUUAACCGGAAUCCAAGAUGCUGUGUUGCACAUCCCAAUAUUUUCCAACAACCUUGGGCCAUUGUUGCACCAGACACUACGUUGAUGCCUGGUCAGAAAUUCUACGUGGUGCCAGUAAGUACCAUAAGACGGCUUCAAAAAUUGUCUUUGAAGUAUAAUACUUCUCAUAAUCAAGAUGUUAAUCAAAAUAAUAAUGGUUUAACUGGAGAAGUUGAUAGCUUCCGCACUACUUGUUGGAAGUUCAAGCCCUCGAAUACUUCAAACGGGGUAACAUCAGAUGAUAGUUACUGUGCAUGUUUGAGAAGUGGGAAAAAGUUAAAAGGAAACAACAAUGAAGAAUCCAGCAAGGAGAAACUGGCAAGCAACUUAACUUUUUCAGAGUCAGAGACGAGGAGCAACGAUAAUAGUACGAGGGGAGGAGGACAACAUCCCAAGAGACUUAUUGCUCUUGAUAACUGGCAUCCGGGACUAGAGAGCAUUGGUGAAGAAAUAGCUCCUGCUUAAUUCACCGGCUUCUGAAUAUAAAUAUUUAUGUUUGAACACAUGGCAUCUUACUUGGAAUAACAGGGAGAAAGGUCUAUUAUUUGAUUUUGUUUAUUGAUUCAUAUAUUGUUAUCAGAUUGUAAGUUUAGGUCAGUAGUACCUUCACCUAUCACUAUUCUUAGGAUUGGCAUGUCCAAGACUUGUUUAAUAUGAUUUAGAGUUUUUUCUUUUGCUUUGGGGAGCACAUGAUUUGAUGCCUCGAAGAGGAUUUAAGUGGUCUACAAGUAUCUAUAUAUGAGCCGAGCUGUUUAUUCUUUUAACUUGGAAAAUUAAGUGUCUUGGCUCAAAUAAAGCUCAUUCUUAGAGUCCUUUUAUAAAGUUAAGAGCUUUCCUCUCUUUUAGCUUUAGGAGCUCCGCAUGACUUAAAACUUAUUUUUUAUGAUAAAAAAUUCGUUCUCUUUUACUCAUCCAUCACUUUUUCCUCUCUCUAAAAUGUGUACCAUCUUUCUAAGCGGCAUAUAUUUUUAUAUUAUACUUGAGAGCAAUUAGAAGACUUUUGGAGAUGUCUUACGGCUUUUUUUGUUAUAUCUCACUAUCUCAGCUCAUAUGUAAUUAUUUGCAAUUCACCGAAUAGAGAGCACUUCAUCGAUGCUCCUAGUUGAGAGCCUCUUGGUACUAUAAUCACCAGCAGUUUUGUUAUAACGUUGUAUUCCCUUUUUUUCAUCUCCCCAGUAUCAGUUAACUUCUCCUUCCUUUCCUUGGACGUUUGUUUGAUUAAACCGGCAGUAUCUUUCGAUCAUUGUCAUGAUCUUUUCGAUCUUAUUUUUCGCUGUUGCAUACUAGCCACUAUAUAUUUGAUCUUCAGUUAAAAUGGUCUGAAACCAUGCUCUUAAAUCUUAAUUUAGAUCCAUAGAUUACACGAUAAUGACAUAAUGUUCCUAUAGAAUUUGAAUUUCAUCGGAAUUAAAAAUUUAGAUGACCUGCAGAACAACCAAAUUUGGAAAACAAAUUAUUGUAAUUACAAGUGAACAAUGAAUUUUGUGAGGUACAGACGUACGGUCAUAAUCAAUGAAUAAAAUCAAUGCUAGCUGACAAUGUAUAUGAAAAGGAACUGAACCUUAAGGUGCAAACCAAAAAUACUUGAUCAAAUUUGGUGGGGUGAGCCAGGCCAACGCAGUAGUGCAACGCUUAGGCGACUCGCGAAGCCCCCAAUAGCAAGCUAUUGUGACGGGACCUCCCCCUCAAAAAAUAAAUUUAAUAUCGUGUGAGCCAAUGGCCCACAUAUCAGAUAUUAAACUGAUAAGAACAGAUACUACACUUGAUCUUAGCCAAAAGGCCGAGAAAGGUAUGCUUUUCAUCAAGGGCCAGCGUGGUUUAUAUAUACAACUGACAUCAGGAAUUAGUUUAUGGAUAUGAUGUGGGACAAAAACAGGUUACUUAGAUAACAAAACACACACCUUCCCUUUCGCUCUGCUGCAGCAGUGCACUUGAACGUUCAAGUGCAUCAUGAAACCAGCAUAAUAACAUGUUGUACAUCCACUGCCUAGCUAACAUCUAUCAGCUCAGAAAUUAACUUUUUAUCAACUGCACCUUCUGACCACAUAUAUAUUUCAACUCUUCAAGGCCAUAUAUGAUAAGUGUUCAAAGUAUUGGUAACUUCAAUACUCAUUUCUGUGUCUUGAUAUUUUAAGAUUUAUUUGUACAUAUCGUCUUAGUUGAUACAAGUGGACAAGGAGUCAUGUGGGGGUCAAUAUCCGGAUUAGAUCAACUCCUCUCUAUAUUUAUCACAGAAUAGGCGGCUUUGAAAUAAUCUUGUAUGUGCCUCUACAGACUGAAUGAACAGAUCACAUAUGCACAAGGUACUAAAGUAUUUAUUGUGUCUCACCAGAACAUAAGUAUGAAAAUCUUUAUUUAAUUUCAACUUCUUUUAAUAAGUUUGAAUUUAUGCAAUUGACUUGAUAUGCUUAAGAUUCAGCAUCUCCUUCUUCCAUAAAUAUCUCUGUAAAAAUAAAUCCUCAUAGAGAUCAGAGCCACUGAAAGUGGAAAUAUAUUAGGAAUGAACUCAAAUUCUUGUUAGUGAAGGUAACUCAUAUACAAUACAACCAAGAGAAUUGCUGAUGAGUAUGCAACUCCUGGUAUGAUAGCGUAAAAGCACUUGUUUCCCAGUUACAUGUUCCACUAUCUACCCCCAAAAAAAGAAACUAAAGCCUCUGUCAAUUACACUACCACAAUGCAGUAAUGUACUAAUGCAGUGUGAGAUCAUUCUUAAAUGAAGAACCAAAAAAAAAGUUAAGGGUCUGUCAGACAACUGCAUGACCACCCCAGCCGCACUGACCGGGAAGAGCUGUUAAUCACGCUCUGGUCAAGCAGUCUUUUGUCAUCCACCAGACUUGGUGACCUGCUUCCUUAGAAAUCAAGGAUGCAGAGGUACGAUCCUAUAGAACAGAUCCUGUUCAAGUAAGGUCGUGACAAGUAGUGUAUUACAACACCUUUAAAAGCAAACAAUGUUUGUCAGUUUAUCUCGAUGUGGUAUAGUUUUCUACUUGAUUUCCAGCCACAUAUAGAAUUCCCACAUCCUCGUUACAACACGAAAUGUAGCUUUUCCAUCUAAUUAAGAAUUUAUCAGAAUAAACAUGAUGUAGGAGAAACUUGAACUAGAAUUGUAGGGUUUGAUCCAAAAGGACAAACCCUCCAAAAAUAGGCGUAUGCCACUGUCAGUGACGAGCACACGGUAUUCUUUAGUAAAAGGCGAAAGAAUAGUUCGCUUUGUGCUCAUCACAUGGCUGCGUGCUCUAAUCACUGCGCAGACAGUUGUUUUUUAUAGACAUUUCGUAGUCAUGCUCUCCUUGUGUUCACAAUGUGGGAUAAGAAACCUGGCUACCUAUCAUCUAUGUGAAUGUAUCAACAGUUUGUGUUAAACAAUGGCAAGCAGUCCUAUUCUCCUCACUAUAAUAAAUUCUUUAAAUUUGUUCCGGCUUAUAUUAUGAGUUGUUUUCUGGUAGAGUAGAAUUUAUUAUGAGCCGGUUUCAGAUAGAGUAGAAUUUCUUUUUACAUUCUUAGCCAUUCUUUUCAUAGCCAAAUUUAUGGGUAGAAACAUCUGGUGGUGGUGCCUGGGCACAUGUGCUUAGUCUAAGUUCUUAUUUUCCUUUUUCCAAACAAAAGAACUAGACCGCUUUGGAUUAAGUGUGAAAAAAUAUUAAAGGAACAAAAAUUCGAUCAUUUCCUCUGUGUAGCCGUAGAUGGUGCACGUACCAGGGAUUGCUUCAAGCAGUCAUUUUUCAUCCACAAAACAAAGUGUCCUGCCUCCUCUGAGAUCAAGAACGCAGAAAUAGUUAACGCUCUAUAAUUCUCUUUGUUUUCCCAUUAGGACGAAAUCCUACUGUAUACUUCUUUUUGUACCCUGUAUGAUCUCCAUCUGUAUAGGUUGAUUUUUCCUAUUUCCAGGGCAGAGACCAAGUUUUGAGAUGCUAAAUAUCAUUAUGAGAAAAUUAUAGUACUUCAAAUUAGCCAAUGAUAUAUGGUACCUUAGUAUAUGUAUACUUGAAAAUCCAAAAGAACAUAUAUUGUAUGGCUGACAUGUUUUUAAGUCAUCCGAUCCGUUGGGAUCCUAGAUAACAAGGAAAUAACAGUAAAGCAGUAAUAUCAUUUGUCAAGUACCAAGAAAUCACUAAGGUCUAUGCUGAAUCACAGGUCAGGGAGGACAUACAUUUACCAAUUCUUCGACAUUCAAGGCUUGAUACCCGCAAAAAAAAAAUACCAAUAAUUGCCUAUAAAAUUUUUCAAGUGAAUGCAUGCAGAAACCAGUUUGAAGCAUACAUGACACAUUGCCACCGUGCACUAGAGCUAUGCUUUUUUUAUUUCAAACUGCACCGGUGAAGAUGAAGAUUAGAACUAUAUACCAGUUUUCACCAUUUUUCCAAGUUACGGUUCAUUUUAGAAAACUGGUAUUCCAGGUACAGAUUUGUUCUCUCAAAAUAUCUGUAGUUCAGUUAAAUUUGUUUAGGCAUCCUGCUGCAGUUAUUGAUUUGUAAUCAGCUGUAGUCUUGUAGACCGGUUAAACCUUAAACUAGACCUGUUCGGGUCGGUCCAAAAGGACAAAAGUCCAAAAAGACCGACCCUCCAAAAAUUAGCCACAAGUGACGAGAAAAAGUUUUCUUUAAGCAAAAAGAAAGAAGUUUGUAGGGCUUUACCCUGGGUUAGAGGGAGCCCUUCCAGAAAUUCUCGAUGGCACAAGGCAGAACCAAGGCCAAGGAGGGGGUUUGGAAAUAGUUUUCAACCAGCAAUUGACGCGCCUCGGUUAGUACCUCACUAGCUGCGUCAUUGCCCCAAGCGCAAAGAUACAUUCUUCAAAGACCUUGUUCCUCUUUUAAGCUGAUGUUUUUCACACGUUUCGUGCAACAACGCGAUGUGGUACAUAUGACUGUCUCAUUUAAAUUCAGAAGACUUCAGGUAUUUUCUUGAGUGAUAGAUGCGAAAUGGAUAUUGCUCUCAAGAGUCCAACAGGAAAGAAUACUGUGAUAAUAUUUUGAUUGUUUUCGUCAUGUCAAAGUGGUUUAAAAUAAACUUCAAAAAAAUGCAAAAUCCUUUUACAAUUACAACCCUAUAAAACGUGAAUUUUUCUUACGCUUACAUCAAUAAACAAUAUAAAAAAUUAAAUACACUUGUCAAGACAAAAACUCUAUUAUUAUCCUUUCAAAUGUAAUUCAUAUAAAUAAAAAGUAAAAUUACUAUCAUUAACAUAUAUUAAUAUUAAUAUGAAACAAUAUUUAAGAUGAAUAUAUACUCCCUCCGUCCCAGCCAUUUGUAUACAAAUGGUUGGAACACUGAGACAAAGAAAAAAAAUGUAAAAAAUGAGUAAAGUUAGAUGAAAAGGAGGUAUAGUGUUGGGAUCCACUUAUAUUUAAUACUCCCUCCAUUUUAAUUUACAUGUCCACUUCUAAUAAAAAAUUUUGUUUCAAAUUACAUGUCCACUUCAACUUUCAAUGCAAAAUCAUAUUUCCAAAGUUAAUUCUACUCCACAUAUCUCUUAUUUAUAUUUCCUACAUCAAUCUCACUCCACAUAUUUUGAUCAUUUAAUGCAAUUAAUUUGUGA